rnacentral:rRNA from 1 species
GGGUUGUGAGGUUAAGCGACUAAGCGUACACGGUGGAUGCCCUGGCAGUCAGAGGCGAUGAAGGACGUGCUAAUCUGCGAUAAGCGUCGGUAAGGUGAUAUGAACCGUUAUAACCGGCGAUUUCCGAAUGGGGAAACCCAGUGUGAUUUGUCACACUAUCAUUAACUGAAUCCAUAGGUUAAUGAGGCGAACCGGGGGAACUGAAACAUCUAAGUACCCCGAGGAAAAGAAAUCAACCGAGAUUCCCCCAGUAGCGGCGAGCGAACGGGGAGGAGCCCAGAGCCUGAAUCAGUGUGUGUGUUAGUGGAAGCGUCUGGAAAGGCGCGCGAUACAGGGUGACAGCCCCGUACACAAAAACGCACAUGCUGUGAGCUCGAUGAGUAGGGCGGGACACGUGGUAUCCUGUCUGAAUAUGGGGGGACCAUCCUCCAAGGCUAAAUACUCCUGACUGACCGAUAGUGAACCAGUACCGUGAGGGAAAGGCGAAAAGAACCCCGGCGAGGGGAGUGAAAAAGAACCUGAAACCGUGUACGUACAAGCAGUGGGAGCCUCUUUUAUGGGGUGACUGCGUACCUUUUGUAUAAUGGGUCAGCGACUUAUAUUCUGUAGCAAGGUUAACCGAAUAGGGGAGCCGAAGGGAAACCGAGUCUUAACUGGGCGUUAAGUUGCAGGGUAUAGACCCGAAACCCGGUGAUCUAGCCAUGGGCAGGUUGAAGGUUGGGUAACACUAACUGGAGGACCGAACCGACUAAUGUUGAAAAAUUAGCGGAUGACUUGUGGCUGGGGGUGAAAGGCCAAUCAAACCGGGAGAUAGCUGGUUCUCCCCGAAAGCUAUUUAGGUAGCGCCUCGUGAAUUCAUCUCCGGGGGUAGAGCACUGUUUCGGCAAGGGGGUCAUCCCGACUUACCAACCCGAUGCAAACUGCGAAUACCGGAGAAUGUUAUCACGGGAGACACACGGCGGGUGCUAACGUCCGUCGUGAAGAGGGAAACAACCCAGACCGCCAGCUAAGGUCCCAAAGUCAUGGUUAAGUGGGAAACGAUGUGGGAAGGCCCAGACAGCCAGGAUGUUGGCUUAGAAGCAGCCAUCAUUUAAAGAAAGCGUAAUAGCUCACUGGUCGAGUCGGCCUGCGCGGAAGAUGUAACGGGGCUAAACCAUGCACCGAAGCUGCGGCAGCGACACUGUGUGUUGUUGGGUAGGGGAGCGUUCUGUAAGCCUGUGAAGGUGUACUGUGAGGUAUGCUGGAGGUAUCAGAAGUGCGAAUGCUGACAUAAGUAACGAUAAAGCGGGUGAAAAGCCCGCUCGCCGGAAGACCAAGGGUUCCUGUCCAACGUUAAUCGGGGCAGGGUGAGUCGACCCCUAAGGCGAGGCCGAAAGGCGUAGUCGAUGGGAAACAGGUUAAUAUUCCUGUACUUGGUGUUACUGCGAAGGGGGGACGGAGAAGGCUAUGUUGGCCGGGCGACGGUUGUCCCGGUUUAAGCGUGUAGGCUGGUUUUCCAGGCAAAUCCGGAAAAUCAAGGCUGAGGCGUGAUGACGAGGCACUACGGUGCUGAAGCAACAAAUGCCCUGCUUCCAGGAAAAGCCUCUAAGCAUCAGGUAACAUCAAAUCGUACCCCAAACCGACACAGGUGGUCAGGUAGAGAAUACCAAGGCGCUUGAGAGAACUCGGGUGAAGGAACUAGGCAAAAUGGUGCCGUAACUUCGGGAGAAGGCACGCUGAUAUGUAGGUGAAGUCCCUCGCGGAUGGAGCUGAAAUCAGUCGAAGAUACCAGCUGGCUGCAACUGUUUAUUAAAAACACAGCACUGUGCAAACACGAAAGUGGACGUAUACGGUGUGACGCCUGCCCGGUGCCGGAAGGUUAAUUGAUGGGGUCAGCGCAAGCGAAGCUCUUGAUCGAAGCCCCGGUAAACGGCGGCCGUAACUAUAACGGUCCUAAGGUAGCGAAAUUCCUUGUCGGGUAAGUUCCGACCUGCACGAAUGGCGUAAUGAUGGCCAGGCUGUCUCCACCCGAGACUCAGUGAAAUUGAACUCGCUGUGAAGAUGCAGUGUACCCGCGGCAAGACGGAAAGACCCCGUGAACCUUUACUAUAGCUUGACACUGAACAUUGAGCCUUGAUGUGUAGGAUAGGUGGGAGGCUUAGAAGUGUGGACGCCAGUCUGCAUGGAGCCGACCUUGAAAUACCACCCUUUAAUGUUUGAUGUUCUAACGUGGACCCGUGAUCCGGGUUGCGGACAGUGUCUGGUGGGUAGUUUGACUGGGGCGGUCUCCUCCUAAAGAGUAACGGAGGAGCACGAAGGUUGGCUAAUCCUGGUCGGACAUCAGGAGGUUAGUGCAAUGGCAUAAGCCAGCUUGACUGCGAGCGUGACGGCGCGAGCAGGUGCGAAAGCAGGUCAUAGUGAUCCGGUGGUUCUGAAUGGAAGGGCCAUCGCUCAACGGAUAAAAGGUACUCCGGGGAUAACAGGCUGAUACCGCCCAAGAGUUCAUAUCGACGGCGGUGUUUGGCACCUCGAUGUCGGCUCAUCACAUCCUGGGGCUGAAGUAGGUCCCAAGGGUAUGGCUGUUCGCCAUUUAAAGUGGUACGCGAGCUGGGUUUAGAACGUCGUGAGACAGUUCGGUCCCUAUCUGCCGUGGGCGCUGGAGAACUGAGGGGGGCUGCUCCUAGUACGAGAGGACCGGAGUGGACGCAUCACUGGUGUUCGGGUUGUCAUGCCAAUGGCACUGCCCGGUAGCUAAAUGCGGAAGAGAUAAGUGCUGAAAGCAUCUAAGCACGAAACUUGCCCCGAGAUGAGUUCUCCCUGACUCCUUGAGAGUCCUGAAGGAACGUUGAAGACGACGACGUUGAUAGGCCGGGUGUGUAAGCGCAGCGAUGCGUUGAGCUAACCGGUACUAAUGAACCGUGAGGCUUAACCUUACAACGCCGAAGCUGUU